rnacentral:rRNA from 1 species
UUGAACGCUGGCGGAAUGCUUUACACAUGCAAGUCGAGCGGCAGCGCGGGGGCAACCUUGGCGGCGAGCGGCGAACGGGUGAGUAACAUAUCGGAACGUACCCAGACGUGGGGGACAACUAGUCGAAAGACUAGCUAAUACCGCAUACGUCCUGAGGGAGAACGCGGGGGAUCGCAAGACCUCGCGCGUUUGGAGCGGCCGCUAUCUGAUUAGCUAGAUGGUGGGGUAAAGGCUCACCAUGGCGACGAUCAGUAGCUGGUCUGAGAGGAGGAUCAGCCACACUGGAACUGAGACACGGUCCAGACUCCUACGGGAGGCAGCAGUGGGGAAUUUUGGACAAUGGGGGAAACCCUGAUCCAGCCAUUCCGCGUGAGUGAAGAAGGCCUUCGGGUUGUAAACCGCUUUCAGCCGGAAAGAAAGCGUCAAGGCUAAUAUCCUUGAUGGAUGACGGUACCGGAAGAAGAAGCACCGGCUAACUACGU